GACGAACGCUGGCGGCGUGCUUAACACAUGCAAGUCGAACGGAAAGGCCCUGCUUUUGUGGGGUGCUCGAGUGGCGAACGGGUGUGUAAAACGUGAGUAACCUGCCCUUGACUUUGGGAUAACUUCAGGAAACUGGGGCUAGUACCGGAUAGGAGCUACUGCUGCACGGGGGGGGUUGGAGAGUUUCGGCGGUUGGGGAUGGAUUCGCGGCUUAUCAGCUUGUUUGUGGGGUAGUGGCUUUCCCAGGGUUUGACGGAUAGGCGGCCUGAGAGGGUGACCAGCGACCAUGGGACUGAGAUAGGGCGCAGACGCCUACGGGACGCAGUAGGGGGGAAUAUUGCAGAAUGGGCCGAAGCCUGAUGCGACAACGCCGCGUGCGGGAAGCCGGCCUUCGGGGUGUAAACCGCUGUCGCCGGUGACGAACCGUGAGUGACGGUAAUGAGUAAAGAAGCACCGGCUAACUACGUG
rnacentral:rRNA from 1 species